UUUGAAGAGCUUGUUUAGCCUGAUUUACAUUGCGGAGCUACGUGCUGGUUAACCGGUGUCUCAAGUCAAUUUGGACAAUUUAUUGACUAAUCGGCCAGCUCAAAAUUUGACCUCAGCGAGGAUGCGUGCAAAUUAUCGCAAAAAUAAGAGAUACAGCACCGAACCCGCAGGCUGCCCGGUUUUAUGAAGUGGAACAAACGACGUAACUUGCGUAAUGCUUCGGACACUCAAUUAUCGAUGGCAAAGCCACGGAUACGACGCGACAACGCCGCUUUUGCUCGGGCAUGGAUUUUUGUCCGUUAUUACCCUGUAUGAAUUUUUCUUUCCUUGGUUUCAGGCAAAACUACUCAGGCUCUGGGCCAAGGUCCGUUAGAAAAUUUUAUAACCAGGCUGUGGGCUGUGUCGUUAAAAGCGAUUUUACAACUCUCGGGAAUUACAUAAACACAUGAGGUUCGAUCCGCAGCGGAGAAUAUCGUAAAUCAUAUUUCACCGGGCUGGUUUGAUUCAAAUCGAGCAUUCGCAUGCAUACGUCUAAUCUCACGUUUCUAUUCGUAUACACAAUCUUCUCCAAACGUGAUCGCGUCAUGU
rnacentral:lncRNA from 1 species